rnacentral:snRNA from 1 species
AGUUUUGUCCCGUGGCAGUAUAGUAGCCAAUGAGGGCUACCCGGGGCACAAUUACCACUAAUUAAAAACUAAUGCAUUGAUACAACAGUAAUACUAACCAAGAUCAAUUUUGCCCUUCCUGAAAAGGA